rnacentral:sRNA from 1 species
GGACCGAUGGAUGAGAUUUCUUAUUACUCAUCAUCCUAAUUAGCAUGUGUGAACUUUGUCAUACAGAUUAGUGAAAAAUAAUAUCUUGAUAUGGUUAUGAUGUGCAUAUUUGUGAUUACUAAGGAUGGUGAACUUUUCCUUAAAUGAAAACAUCAUUUCAUGGUCAAUUACGGGUAAUUAAAGGAAGAAAUUUGUCUUUGAAUACCAAAAAGAUACACGAUUUAGAGAGUCAUUCCAAAGAAAAAAACCUAUACUACUUGGGACAUCUAACGUAUGCUCUUCUUCAGAGUCGUUGAAAGAAUGAUGCAGUACCCUGUUUUCUGCCACACCAUAUUACACACGAGUCAUCACAAUUGUUAAAGAUCAAUGAGAAUCGUCUGAAGCUGCCUGAGAGAAAUAAUGGAUGUUGCACUCCAAUUUAUAUAACUAAUAUGAAUUUAUUAGUUGAAGUCUUGAAGCUGUGAAAGUGGCAACACACAGCCAGCAAUGAUGGGGCAGUAUUUCUGGCAACAGUAAUCAAAGUUCCCUCCAUGGAAACUAAGAUUCUAUUGCAUCUAUGGGAGCCAGUCAGUAGACCUUUGACAGAAAGUAAGUCAUAAAAGCACUGUACAGUAUACAUACCUCCAGUGAGAGAAAAUGUAAUGAAACUACAAGAACCAAAGUUCCUUUUGAUUUAAACUUUGCCUGCUGGCAAACAUAAAGGCACAUCCACAUUCUUUAUGUUACUGUGGUUGCUAGAGCAAAAUGCAGUGCUUUGCCUUUUAUUUUUGCAAGUGUUGGAUUUCAUCCUUAGAACCACGCGUUUGCAAUUAUAUUGAUAUAUAAGGCCUAUCAUUUUAUCUUAACAUUGUUUUCUUCAGAUAAAUAUUUACAAAUACAUACUAAAGAAAGUUUUGCUUUUAAAAAUAGUGACAAAAAGAAUUCAGGGUUAUUACAGAGAUUAAGAAAUAAUGAGUCGGGGUUGGGUAUUUUGCUCAGUGGUAGAGUG